ACACUUUCACAUUUUCCCAAUACGUUUCAGAUCUGUAGAUUUGUGUAGAUUUAUUUUGUGAACCCUAAACUACUCUCUCUAACUCUUUCUCUGCUCAUCUUCAUCCCAUUGCAGAUUCGUAGCAAGUCCCUGCCGGAGAUUUCAGAUCGGUGCACCACCCUUUUUCCGCGCCAUCCUUAUUCCGUCGAGGGCAAGCACAGGGAAAACUUUUGGAAAUUUGCUAUCAGCGUCGUCGAUAUAUGGAUUGUUAAGGAGGCAAUGGACAGUAACAUCUCGAAGCUAUUAUUUAAGAUGCAAAGAUUUUUUAUUAUUCACAUGCUCUUUGUCUAUUGUUUUCAUGUUUAUACAUAUAGUAAUUACUAAUUUUAUCAACAGGGUAACCAAAUCCAUGUCGUUAGCGUGUAUGGAAGCAAACUUUACAAGAGCAUCAUGUAAAGCCUAUGCUAAAAGAUCUCCUAUUGAAAGUCUGUAACAAUAGCCUCAAACUUUUUAUCAAUUCUAGCACUGUUAUCACUGCCAUGGACAUACCAAAAAUUCCACAUCACAACUUCAAUUUCAAGCCAUUUGGAGAUUUCUUAAACGGUCAUUGACAUAUAGGGGCAUCAAAGUAUUUCAAGAUAUUACAAUAUAUUGCAGAAAUUGUCUGGUUUGAGCGUCGCCCCAUCCAUAUAUGAGGGCAAUUGUAUGGGCAUGUGUGGUAUUUGGUUGCAAGGAAAUCGAUUUGGGAAUGGAUGGCCUAUUCUUAACCGUUUUGGGAACUUGGGAGAGAACAUUAAUAAGGAAGAAGUGAGGGACCUUUUCACUGGCAGAUAUUCCAAAAAUCUAUUUAGGAAAAGAAAAGAUGGGAAGCCUACUGAUGUUCCUGGUUCCAACGGAGCCCCAGUAGCAAUGACUUAUCAGUAGCUUGAAGGGGGUGUACUAUGUUCUUUAUGCCCCAACCAAUCUAUUAUCAAGCCUUUACUCAUCACUAAGUUAUUUUAAGUUGGAUUUCUCUGAAUGUAUACAGGAAAAGCCCAUUAAUCUUAUUUCAUUUUUUUAUAUCGCUUUGACCCUAUUUUGGUAUGUUAUGAUUAUUAUAGAAUUUGGAUAGAAUCAUUGGAAUUAAAGAAAAUAUGGUUCAUUGUUUCUUUUUCUCUUUUGUUUGUGCUGUGAAUUAUUGUGAAAUUUGGAUAAGUGUUUUUUGGUUGAACUCAGUAUUUCAUAAAUUAGAGUACUAUUCUUGUCCUCUUCUAGCAUAUAAUGAGCUUUUUCUCAAGCAUGUGUAGUUUAUACGUUUAUAUAUUAUUUACAUCAACCAUAGAGUGUUCUGCUAUAUGCUUUUUGAGCUUUGAGUGUAUUUGUUGUUUAUGUGUACAAGUUUCGCUGCAAAUAAACAAUGAAGCGGAUGUUAUACUUUUUGGUUUUUGUUUUGGACUACACUAAAAGAAAAAAAAUCGAGCACUUCCUUUUAUUUAAUGUUUUUUUUACUUCUAAAAUAUGUACCUUAAUCAAAUGCUCUUUAGACCAAAAAUAUGUUAUGUUUAUUUGGUUGUUAUUUAGAACAAAAAAAUAUGUACCUUCAAAACAACUUUUGACUGGAAAUGCUGUUAAUGUGGAAUCAUGAUGUUAAAUUUAACUUUUAAAUUUGAUCCAAUUUUUAAAUUUUUUAGUUCCUAAAAUUUAAAAUAUAGGGUUAAUAGUAGUUUAUCCCCCUGUAAUAUGAGCGUGUUUCGGUUUACCCCCUAUUGUUGCCAAAGGCAGGUUUUGGCAACGGUUUUUUUGAAAAAACCGUUGCCUAAAGGUAGAGAGGGGAAAAAAGUAAAAUUCGCUAAUAUUACAGGGGGGAGAAUUACUAUUAACCCUAAAAUAUAUGACUUCUAACUAUAGAAUGUGAUGUUUGAAAAUAUAUAAAUACUUAAAUACUUAUUCAACAGUUACAUGAAUCCAUACUGUACUAUUAAACAUUCUUUAUAUACAUGGAGUUCUCUAUAUAAAUGGAGUGGAUAAAAAUCAUAUAACCUACUUCAUAUUGAUGAAUUUGUUUAUACACAAGACUAAAACAUUGAAGAUAUUUAUAAGUUAAUAACAAACUAAGUUUUAUUUAAAUUAUU